UGCUGCUCUCUGUUCCUGUGAGGAGCUUUCACUGUGCUGGGUUCUGCUGAGGAGAGAUUUCCUCAAAGGGAAAGCCCUUGAUCCCUUCAGGGCCGGAAGCUUCAACUCCUGUCUUGUGGCUUUGAUCUAUCUGGGAUACAAACAGGUUUUAACCUGGAGUACUCCAAGUGAUUGCCUUAUGCCACCUCAGGGUGAGGAUGGGAUUAUGCUGAGCCGUUGGGAGGAAGAUUAUCCAGGAUCACUCCCCUGCUUGGCUCUGGUGCUGCUUUAGAGGGCAUAGGUUUACGAGGAGUUCAUUACCUAUCCCUCAGCCUUCUUGCACCAGCAGAGCCUGGUGUGAUGAGGAAAGAGCUUGGCAGGUGAAGAGCAGAGCACAAAGGCAGCAAAUCAGAAUAGCAGUGACCUGAGCUGCAAGGGCUCCUGCUGCAGUCCCAGUCACACUGUGCCUUCUGCAUGUUGGCUUUUGAGGAAUAUGUGUAACUCACUGGGGUUUGUCUGUC